CAUGCAGUCGAGCGGUAAGGCCUUUCGGGGUACACGAGCGGCGAACGGGUGAGUAACACGUGGGUGAUCUGCCCUGCACUUCGGGAUAAGCCUGGGAAACUGGGUCUAAUACCGGAUAUGACCUCCUAUCGCAUGGUGGGUGGUGGAAAGAUUUAUCGGUGCAGGAUGGGCCCGCGGCCUAUCAGCUUGUUGGUGGGGUAAUGGCCUACCAAGGCGACGACGGGUAGCCGACCUGAGAGGGUGACCGGCCACACUGGGACUGAGACACGGCCCAGACUCCUACGGGAGGCAGCAGUGGGGAAUAUUGCACAAUGGGCGAAAGCCUGAUGCAGCGACGCCGCGUGAGGGAUGACGGCCUUCGGGUUGUAAACCUCUUUCAGCAGGGACGAAGCGCAAGUGACGGUACCUGCAGAAGAAGCACCGGCUAACUACGUGCCAGCAGCCGCGGUAAUACGUAGGGUGCAAGCGUUGUCCGGAAUUACUGGGCGUAAAGAGUUCGUAGGCGGUUUGUCGCGUCGUUUGUGAAAACCAGCAGCUCAACUGCUGGCUUGCAGGCGAUACGGGCAGACUUGAGUACUGCAGGGGAGACUGGAAUUCCUGGUGUAGCGGUGAAAUGCGCAGAUAUCAGGAGGAACACCGGUGGCGAAGGCGGGUCUCUGGGCAGUAACUGACGCUGAGGAACGAAAGCGUGGGUAGCGAACAGGAUUAGAUACCCUGGUAGUCCACGCCGUAAACGGUGGGCGCUAGGUGUGGGUUCCUUCCACGGAAUCCGUGCCGUAGCUAACGCAUUAAGCGC
rnacentral:rRNA from 1 species